rnacentral:rRNA from 1 species
AUUGAACGCUGGCGGCAUGCUUUACACAUGCAAGUCGAACGGCAGCGCGGGCUUCGGCCUGGCGGCGAGUGGCGAACGGGUGAGUAAUGCAUCGGAACGUGCCCAGUAGUGGGGGAUAGCCCAGCGAAAGCCGGAUUAAUACCGCAUACGACCUGAGGGUGAAAGCGGGGGACCGAAAGGCCUCGCGCUAUUGGAGCGGCCGAUGUCGGAUUAGCUAGUUGGUGGGGUAAAGGCUUACCAAGGCGACGAUCCGUAGCUGGUCUGAGAGGACGACCAGCCACACUGGGACUGAGACACGGCCCAGACUCCUACGGGAGGCAGCAGUGGGGAAUUUUGGACAAUGGGGGCAACCCUGAUCCAGCCAUGCCGCGUGCGGAAAGAAGGCCUUCGGGUUGUAAACCGCUUUUGUUCGGGAAGAAAUCCUCUGGGCUAAUACCCCGGGGGGAUGACGGUACCGGAAGAAUAAGCACCGGCUAACUACGUG